rnacentral:misc_RNA from 1 species
AAUUCUCAACCUCAUCACUUUUGUGAUGAUGGCUUGGAUGUGGAGGUUUUCUGCAGGCUUUCAAAAGUCUGCUCCUCUCAAAUGAAUUAGUGGGUGCCCCGCGCAAACCUAUCUAUUGGUGUGAUAAUUAUCUACGCCGUGGGUUUAAGGAUUGCUGUAAAAAGGUGUUUGCCCUGCUUCUAAUCGUCCUGUUAUUGGGACAACUUGAACC